UGUGGUGACGAUGGCGAGAAGGAUACACCUGUUCCCAUGUCGAACACAGAAGUUAAGCUUCUUAGCGCCGAGAGUAGUUGGGGGAUCGCUCC
rnacentral:rRNA from 3 species